rnacentral:misc_RNA from 1 species
CUUUCUCUCUCUCAUUUUCGGGGCUUUCUCUCUCCUCUCUCUUCUUUCAUAUUCUCUAUCUGUCUUUCUCUCUCAGGUUUCUCUCUCCUCUCUCUUUCUCUCUCCAGAAGGGCAAAACCCUAAAGAGCCGUUUACACCCCCAAUUUUCAUGGAUGACGAUGCACUGAACAUGCGUAAUUGGGGUUAUUAUGAACCGACCUUUAAAGGGCAUCUCGGUCUGCAGCUCAUGUCCAGCAUGGCAGACCGUGACACGAAGCAUUUCCUACCUGGGGGUGAUCCUAAUAACAUCAUGGUUGGUGCCAAUGGCGCUUUUCAUCCACGUGAUUGUGUGGUUUCGGAUGCUCCUGUUCCAAUGAAUUAUGUAAGAGACAGUUGGAUAAGCCAAAGGGAGAAGUUUUUGAACAUGUUACCUCAAAAUCCCUCUUAUGCUGUUCUCCCAGAAACAUCUGGGGCUCACUCUAUGCAAGUUCUACAGCCACCCAAUUCAUCAAGGGAUGAGAAGGUGGGUAGGAUUGAGGAGCCAAGUGUGAACAAGGAAGGUAGCCAGUUGAAGAAAAGACAAGGUGGGGGUGCCCCAAAAACCCCCAAAGCCAAGAAACCUAGGAAGCCAAAAGAUAAUAGUAAUAAUGCAGUUCAGCGUGUGAAGCCAGCUAAGAAAAGUAUGGAUGUUGUUAUAAAUGGGAUUGAUAUGGACAUUUCAGGUAUUCCUAUUCCAGUAUGCUCUUGCACUGGAACUCCUCAGCAGUGUUAUCGAUG